rnacentral:rRNA from 1 species
GCUUGCACUUUGAUGACGAGUGGCGCACGGGUGCGUAACGCGUAUAGAACCUACCCUGUACAGGGGGAUAGCCCAGAGAAAUUUGGAUUAAUACCCCGUGGUAACUAUAAAUGGCAUCAUUUAUAGUUUAAAGUUUUCGGACGGUACAGGAUGGCUAUGCGUCCUAUUAGUUAGAUGGUGAGGUAACGGCUCACCAUGGCAUCGAUAGGUAGGGGCCCUGAGAGGGGGAUCCCCCACACUGGUACUGAGACACGGACCAGACUCCUACGGGAGGCAGCAGUGAGGAAUAUUGGACAAUGGGCGUAAGCCUGAUCCAGCCAUGCCGCGUGCAGGAAGACGGCCCUAUGGGUUGUAAACUGCUUUUAUACGGGAAGAAUAAGGGACACGAGUGUCCUGGUGACGGUACCGUAAGAAUAAGGACCGGCUAACUCCGUGCCAGCAGCCGCGGUAAUACGGAGGGUCCGAGCGUUAUCCGGAAUUAUUGGGUUUAAAGGGUCCGCAGGCGGGCAAUUAAGUCAGGGGUGAAAUGGUACGGCUCAACCGUAGCACUGCCCUUGAUACUGGUUGUCUUGAGUCAUAGUGAAGUGGCCGGAAUAUGUAGUGUAGCGGUGAAAUGCAUAGAUAUUACAUAGAACACCGAUUGCGAAGGCAGGUCACUAACUAUCGACUGACGCUGAUGGACGAAAGCGUGGGGAGCGAACGGGAUUAGAUACCCCGGUAGUCCACGCCGUAAACGAUGGAUACUAGCUGUCCGCUGCCUUGAGCAGUGGGCGGCCCAGCGAAAGUGAUAAGUAUCCCACCUGGGGAGUACGUUCGCAAGAAUGAAACUCAAAGGAAUUGACGGGGGCCCGCACAAGCGGUGGGAGCAUGUGGUUUAAUUCGAUGAUACGCGAGGAACCUUACCAGGGCUUAAAUGCAUAAUGACAGGUCUAGAGAUAGACUUUUCUUCGGACAUUUUGCAAGGUGCUGCAUGGCUGUCGUCAGCUCGUGCCGUGAGGUGUCAGGUUAAGUCCUAUAACGAGCGCAACCCCUGCCGUCAGUUGCCAGCAAGUAAAGUUGGG